AGGAGUUGGUGAAGAACAGCAAAGUGUGUGCUGCAGUCCAUGGGGUUGCAAAGAGUCGGACAUGACUGAGUGACUGAAUAAGGUUCUGGCCUGAGUGGUUAGCCUCAUUUAUAAGAGAAUAAGAACUUGUCUUUGCAAAUUAAAAAAUAAGUUGAUAUUACUCAGUGUUGGAAAAGAUAUGGAGGACCAUACACGGUCCUAGGAUGUUGGUGAUAACUUACUGCCUCCUUUCCAAAAAGUGAUUUUGCCUUAGUCAUUGAAGUUUUAGCAUGUAUCCACUUUGAUCCAGAAUCUUAGCUUGUUAUGUAUAAGAAGUGCAGUGGCUAUCAGAACAUACACACACAUGAGACCGUUUCUUCCUAUAGUGUUUGUAAGUAACAAAGCCCAGCUAACCAACAAACAAAAGACUCAAGGAACCAAGCCUCGUUAGGAUGCAUGAAUAGAAUUUGAACUUCCUAUGUGUAUUUUGUGCAAUUUCUUUUUUUUUUUUUUACAAUGAACAUGUAUUUUCCUCAAAUAACUUCUGUUCUCCUUUGAAAAGGGUUAUACCUGAGCAGGGGUGCAUCUGCUUCCUGUUUUAUCUCCUCACUCUGUUUUGACAGAGAGGGUAAGAAUAAUCUCAGAAUCUGGUUUGACAUGUUUUCCUAAGUACUGUUACCCAUUUAUAUAUUUUGCAACAGUUACUCUAAUCUUGGAAGUUGUUAAUGGCUCCUUAUUUCCAACGGGAUAAGAUCUGUACAAAGACCCUCGUGGUCGUUUCCCAGUUACCCUUCCCUCUCUGCCCCCAGCCCUUCUCUCGAGCUUCUCUACUUCUGAAACUCACCUUCUGUGUCGGGUUUUCUUAUCUUGGCUCUCCAGUCCCUUCUUUUACAAUGCCACUGCCCAUAUGGGAGCCUUCUGCUUCCCUUCUGUGAAGUCUCUGCUCACAUGUUCUGUUCUGUGAUCAUCUCUCAUCAGGUCUAAGGAAAUCCUCCAUUCAUGGCACUCUAUCCCCUUCAUCUCACCCCAAGGCCGUCACAUGUUAGGUGUGUUUUCCCUACCUGAAGAAUGCCCACUGGGGACAGAUCCAAACAUCUUUGUAGAUGUUCACUUGAGUUUUAUGGAUGGAGACAUGGUAUUAGUGGAAAUUACAUUUCACUUCAAAAUUACUAGAAACUGAUGAUCAUGGGUUAUGGUCUUAUUAAAGAAUGUUUUUGCUCUGCCAUGACUUUGACCACUUGCUACCAAGGCAGAGGCUCCUUUCUCCCUUUUCUUACAAAGUUGAUUCUUUGUAUUUAGCUAUGUGUCCUGCGCUUUUUCUUUGAAGUUCAUGCUUUCCUCACCCAGUGAUUUCAAGACAUGUAGCGAAUCCUGUUCUAGCUCUGUUCCAUGAGGACUUUUUCUGGCCAGUCUCUAGCAAUCUCUUCUUUCAUGCUCUCACAGAUCAUUUAUUUCCACUUGUUCCUCCCCCAGGCAGGCCCUUUAUAAAGUUCCAGCCCUCAACCAGCCCCAUGGUAUUCAGGACUGCAUUAAAAUCUUUACAACCUGAAACCUGAAAAGAUGGUGGUACCUCUAUCAUUAUGUCAGCUCCAAAGUUACUACAUGGUGAAACACAAACUUAUGUAUAUGCUAGAAUUAAAUAUACCUCUCCAGAAUUUUCUCAUUCUAAAUUCCUCAAAGAGACCGGGGUUCGAUCUCUGGAUCAAGAAAAUUCCCUGGAUAAAGGAAUGGCAACCCACUCCAGUAUUCUUGCCUGAAGAAUCCCAUGGACAGAAAAGCCUUGCAGGCUACAGUCCAUGGGAUCGCAAAGAGUCGAACACAACUGAGCAACUAACACUUUCACUACUAACUUUUCUUCCAGCCUUUGUUUUGCUGUGUCCUAACUCACAUUUUGGUCUCCCCACGUGGUGGUCUUUUGUUCUGGUACCCUACUGCAGCAAAGGAUUUCGUGAGAUAUGCUUUCGUGUUGCAUAUCCAAAUACUUGGAGUUCCCACAUUGCACUGGUGCUCAAGAACCUGCAUGCCGCUGCAGGAAAUGGAAGAGACACCGGUUCAGUCCCUGGGUCGGGAAGCUCCUCUGGAGUGGAUGCUGAGUCCAAUCACGUGGUGUCUUCUUUAAUUUCCUCCCUGCCACUGGCAAGUCUUUCCUUAUUUUAGUAAGUAUUCUUUAGUAAGAAUACUUAAAGUAUUCUUAAAGUAUUCUUAGUAUUAAGAAUUCUUAGUAUUCUUGAAUUCUUAGUAUUAAGAAUUCUUAGUAUUCUUGAAUUCUUAGUAUUCUUAAAGUAUUCUUAGUAAGUAUUCUUUAGUAAGUAUUCUUCAAUCCCCACCAGCCUGAGCCAACAAAAGCUAAGUCAUGUUGGCCAGAAUGGUAGGAAAAAAAUUGUUCUCACAUCUUUAUUUCGGGACAUUUUUUGGAGUGGAUAUCGCCUCUUCUUUCGUUUUCUUCUUUUCCCUGCUUUUCGGGUGGUGAAGAGUCCUCCCUGUGGUUCUUUGUACCAUACUUUCUUUUUCUGAUUGCCCACUGCUCAGGUGACCUCCAAGAACUUCAUCUCAUCCCCCUCUAACAAUUUGGUGAAGUAUGUGUCUGGAAUGUCAUUUCUGCCCUUUGCAGACACUGAGACUAGGCUUAGCCUUCAGACUUCUCCAGGUCUCUCUUUCUCUGUGUUGACUUGAACCAUGGACGGAAAGACUUCUUCCCUAGGAAACCUGCUUCUGACCCCACAGCAUCCGUUUACAGCUCCCACCGUGGUGCUGUCCAUGUUUGGGAUGCUUCCAGGGGGUAAUCAAUUCUGUCCCCUGUGAUUUGGUUUUCAGGGACUGUUCUUCCUCUAAAAGUCACAGGAGCUUAGGCUGAAACCCUUAACUUUGUACCCAGUCCUGUGGAAAACAGUACCUUCUGCUCCAUUUUAAUCAAAGUUAAACUCUUAAGCAUGUAUCUUUGCAGAAGGACAUUGCCUAUGCUUUUGAAGUGUGCGUUCUCCUAGAGCAGGCUCACUGGAGAUGGCCCUGAUGCUGGGAAAGAUUGAAGGCAAAAGGAGAAGGAGGCAGCAGAGGAAGAGGAGGUUAGAUAGCAUCACCGACUCAGUGGAUGUGAGCUUGAGCAAACUCCGGGAGUUGGUGAUGGACAGGGAAGCCUGGCGUGCUACAGUCCAUGGGGUAGCGGAGAGUCAGACACGACUUAGCGACUGAACAACAGUAAUUCUCCUAGUUCUCAUGAGACUCUCAAUCCCAAAGUUUUCAGUCUUGGAGUUUCUUGAGGAUCAUCCUACCUUUGGCAUAAAGUACUAGUUUUCCACUUUCCUUUUAUCCUACAGGGAAAGCAAAUUCUGAUUCCUAAGGCCUUAAAUCAUUGUUCUCCAAAGGCCCUGCAAUCGGAGAGGUAUAGAAUUUGGAAAACAGCCCUUUUUUUUUUUUAAUUUUAGAGGGCAUUAAAGUGUAAAGCAGGAGACUAGAGUGUUAUGCAAGUGAUUGAUUUCAAGUGUGUACCCAAUCAAUUACAUUUUUAUUUCCUCUCCCACAAAGCAUUUUCAUUUGAAUUGAGUUUUUCAGCUAAAUCAUCACUUCAUGGACUGGCAAUUAGGAUUAGUUUCUUCUUUUCUAAUCAAGUCCUUCCAACUACAGAAGAUAUUGUGCAUACUGUCUAAAUUAUAGAUUUCUCUCAUUGUUACAUUUGGAGUAGAAUGGUCCAUUCACCAAAUGUUUACUCAGUACCCACUGAGCACUCUGCUUGAUCUGGGGUGUUUGACAAAUGGGAAAGCUCUUUGAGCUUUUUGAAAUGAUUUAGGAGUGAUGUGCAGAAUAAAACUUAAAGUGAGAGCAAGCUGAGUUCGUCCCGGGUCUGGAGAUGUUCACCAUCAGAUUAAAGCAGCCUAGCAUGCCGUCACCCAUCACAGGAGACUGCGUGGGCAGAACCAGACCUGACCCUGGUACCAGUGGAAACACUCGGGACCACUCAGAUUCACAGAGUUGUUAGACUUCACUUGGAGGAGAUUUAAAAUCGCUUUAUCAGAACUGCACUCUCGGGAGGUGGGGAACAGAGCUUCACAGCCGGCAUGAGCUGGAGGGGAAGUCAGAGCCAGAUUGAGGUUUCGUGCCGGAACUUGAAGUGUUUUCUGGUCAUUGAUUUCUCCAGUACUUUUCUGUUCAAAUGUUUAGUGACCAACACUUGCUGCUUCCUUAUGUCUGUGCCCGACUUUGGACUCACAGGGAUGCAGAAACCCAAUCCUUGCCUUUUCCCUCCCCGCUCAAUGGUUAGAAUUUGGUUUUGUAAUUAGAUUGGUUGUAUUAAAGAGAUAGGCAAGGAACUUUUGGUCAAGUAAGAUGACCAAAGUACUUAGUUACAAAUAAAAUAAGUAUUUGACUUUCAAAAUAAUUUCUUUGAAACUGUUUAUCUCACAUCUACUUUUAAUACAGUAAUUAUUCCCAUUAAUCCUAAUACCUCAGGUUAAUUUAUUCAUGAUCACCUAUAGUUUCAAGUCAUCUUUUUUUUAAGUGUGCUUAAUAUCUGGGUUAUUUUGAAUGAUCCUAAAAAAUUCUUUUGAACUUCAACAGAGCUGAUCUGACUGCUUUAAACAUAUUGGAAAAUGGAUAGUUUCUGAACAUGGGACAUAUAUUUAAUUUGUACAGUGUGCAAUUAAAAUUACAAUUUAAAAAAAGUGAUUACAAAUAAAAUAGCCAAAUGAAGGUGAACUUGGGAGUAACUGCAUGUUUGUAACACUUAGUGCAAUAUUUACCAAGCGUUUAUUGAAUUCUUCCAAAUGAUAAAUGACAUAAAGCCCUCGUAAGGAAAAGCCAUGAGAUAAGAGAACAUUUCCCAAAGUUCAUUUCUUACUUUCAUUCUGCCAGGUGUUAAUAAAUCUUGCUGGUUAAGUACACUUGAAUGAUGCUGAGAUUAACAGAUGUGUGGCUUUCCUGUGAGGAGCCUUCGUGUGUUUUAAAAUAGUCUCAUCCGUGUUUGUGUUGGUAUAUCUCUCUGGACCGGGAUUGUGUAGCACACACUAACGCAAACAUGAAAAAGAUGAUGGAGUCACUGGGCAAGGGAAAGGGGGCGACGGGCAGAGGAAGAAGCAGAGUCACACUGAUGAGGAGCCGUCGAAUGAUGGUCUGUGGGGCUGGGACCACACGGGCAUCCAGUCCCGCUGCCUGUGAAACAAGCCCCGUUAUUUGCUGCUAUAGAGCCCGGGCUCCCUACUGUCAUAGUAUAUAUGUAUUAUAUAAUUAUCUAUUAUACAUAAUUAAAUAUAAUUCCCCUUGUCUCAUUCCCCUUCCCAACCACACAUAGACAUGCUUUGCUCUUGUCUUUGUUCAGUCGCUGAGUUAUGUCCUAGUCUUUGCAACCCCAUGGACUACAGCCUGCCAGGGUCCUUCAUGCAUGGGAUUCUCCAGGCAAGAAUACUGGAUGCUCCCAAGAGCGGUGAAUACAGGCCCCAGGUGAGAGUCCAGGAUCUGCAGAUGACAGUCUCAUAAAGAUAACAACUGGAGCUGGACUGUGCCUGAAGCUUACUGUUGAACAAACGAAUGACUGGAUGGUUGAAUAAGCAUAAAUAAGCAGCCAUAAGGGCCAGGUGGACGACGCGGCCGGGCAUGCACACGCACCCUUCCCCAGCCCCUCCCAUCCAGGCUGCCGCAUAGCACUGAGCUCCCGGUGCCUACAGUGAGUAGCACCGCAGAAAGCUUUGUAUGUACUGUGAGCCGUACUGCCGCCCCCCCAUCCUCCUACCCAUCUAAAGACAUCGGCUGUCCUGCAUAUCUUUGUCAGGAAAAAAACAAAUGCAAGACUCACGGAGCAGGAUCAUCAGAACUCGGUCCUCUGCCUUCAGUGAAUCUUAAGCCCCAACAGCGCAGCUUCGUUACUGCCGCCCAGCAGGGAAAGAGGAUCCGUUUUUUAAGGAUCCAUUUCUUCCUGAAUAAAAAUAGGAAUCGACGUUCCAUGUAAUGCAGUGAUAGUUUGUCCCGGCAAAUGUUCUGAAGAGGAUUCGCUGUUACCUGUGGUCUCUUUCCUUCAGCUCCAAAGGAUCUACCAGAUCAAAAGAUCUACCACGAAGCCAUACCCUGAAUGUGAAGGAAUUGAUUUUUAAAUGAAUGGAUGUGAUUCCUUAUCUGGAUAUCUUCUCAGUAGUAGUUUUCCACUGGGUAGUUUUCCACUGUCAUUUUUAAGUCCAGACAGCAGUGUCUUCCUGAGGGGCUAAUUUGUGAGGGGAUGAAUGAGGAACAGCAGGACUAUUACCAAUUGCCAAGACAAUUUACCGACCUAACUAUUGCUAAGGACAGGAGGAGAGCCAAGCCAAAACUGUGUGUGCUUUGGCAUAGCAGCAUGUCAAUUAGAACAUGGGCCUGGCACCCCAAUCUAAAACCUGAGGAAGAAAUAACAUGGUAAAAAGACAAGUAAAGGAAAAACUGAAAUGUAGCAAGCAUCUUUAAGACAAGAUCAGGAUAGAAUAGUUCUUGACUCAGCAAGUUGCUAUUCCGUUCCUUGCUUUUCCUUUUAAAACAACUUUGCUGCUGUGAUUAAAUAAUGUAACAUUUUCCCCUCUCUUUAAUUCCUAGCUCCUUGGUAAUAUAGACUGUCUUGUGGAAGUGUUAAUUAAAAAUAAAUUCUCAUUUAUAGCAGGUGCUGUUCCUUUUUUGUCCAUUUUUCUGCUAAAGGAUGUUAAUUCCACUAAUCUGACAUCUAGGAAUGGUAUAAUUAAGAGUAUUUGUGAGGGAAAUGGCAACCCACUCCAGUGUUCUUGCCUGGAGAAUCCCAUGGACGGAGAAGCCUGGUAGGCUGCAGUCCAUGGGGUUGCACAGAGUCAGACACGACUGAAGUAACUUGGCGGCAGCAGCAGCAGCAGUGAGGGCUUGCACACACAAAUUUAGUGUUUAUUGAUGUAAUACUCUUCAUCUUAUAUGACUAUCAAGUGUUUAUUAUCUACAUAUCGUGGGAAACAACCCGACAUUAACUUCUCCUUUGAGUAGUUACAAUAAUUUUUUCAUAAUAAAUAAUCCUGGGCAAUAAAUUCUUUUUCUAGGCCCUGUGCAUGUAGCAGCUAUAGACUGUUUAUUAUUAUUUGAGUUCGUGGCAACCUUAAUCAAGAUGGAACAUCUCACAGCUGUUUGUUUAUGUCUCUAAGCGACAAGGUUUAAAUUUCUUAACCCUUCAUUUCAGAUAACUCAGCCAUCCAUCAAAGCUGCAUUGUUAUUAACCUAAAAAUCAAUGCUUCAUCAAAGAAAGAGGAUAGAAAUCAUAUGUAAAAGACAGCCUUUGGCUCUCUACUGGCAAGUUUACAUAUCCGCAUUGUUACUAUUAUUUUGUUAACUUUUAAGUUCUGCCUCAGCUUCUAAGUUCUUUCAGCUGGGCGUAUAUUUUUUUUUAAUAUACUCAUCACUAUAAAAUUAGACUUAAGAAAAGCUAUUCAGAGGCCAUAAUAAUAGAGUUGCAGUGAGUACAAGUCUCAGUCCACAAGCUCAGCUGGAAGAAGCGUUAGUCAGUCACUCAGUUGUAUCCAACUCCUUGUGACCCCAAGGACUGUAGCCCAUCCAUGGGAUUCUCCAAACCAGAAUACUGCAGUGGGUUGCCAUUCCCUUCUCCAGGGGAAUCUUCCCAACCCAGGAAUCGAACCCAGGUCUCCCGCAUGGCAAGCCGAUUCUCCACCAUCUGAGCCACCAGGGAAGCCCUCAGUUGGAACAGCACACUUUAAAAAUCUCCUUUGAAUGAUCCCUGUUCUGCCUCUGGGCCCUCGCUGGUAGAGGUUCCUUUUGGUAGGGCCUCCCUAAGGUCCUGGGGCUUGGGAAGGGCCGUAACUUCAAAGAGGGGUCUCAAGGCCCUCCUGAUCAUGGAUGAGACACCCCCAUUUUCUUGCCUGUUGGGUCUCUGAGUUUUGUGGUCAUCUUUGGCAUGUCUCUGAACCUGGGGGUUUUAUGCCGAUUCUCAAAUAGGUACCCCACAGGCCCCCAGCACAGAGGUGCUAGCACAUGGGGCGUGCAGGGCCAGACAGCACUGGGUCACUUCCGCCGCCUCUGGAGCCUCAGACCUGAUUCAUCUGGGGCCUCCAGGAGCCUCUCCUCAUGUCUCCUGUUGCUUCAGAGACACCAUUCUCUGCAAAGGACUGAAAUUUUAAAAAGGACUUAUGCUUAAAAAAAAAAAAAAAAAAACCUGUGCAUUCCAAAACCCUGAAUAUAAGAAAUUAAAGACUUGAGCUACCCUGAGAUGGGUGAGGAUGCAAGGGAAAAAUAAUUCAUUAACAAGAAAUGAAUUGGCAUUUAGGUAUUAGCGUUAGUCGCUCAGUUGUGUCCGACUCUUUGCAACCCCAUGGCCUGUAGUCUGCCAGGCUCCUCUGUCCCUGGAUUCUCCCGGCAAGGAUACUAGAGUGGGUAGCCAUUCCCUUCUCCAGGGGAUCUUCCCAAGCCCAUUUAGGUAUUAAUACAUCAUCAGAUUAAUAGGUCAGCAACUUAUCCUGCCACAAGAUUUUUUUCUCCGUACAUAAAAAGUGCAGAGUGAGAUUUGUAAGUUUUCAGCACUUCUAAUGCCUCUCUCCUCCGGUUCCAAUUUUUUUCUUUUCCUUCACGGGUCCAGUCACAUGAACUUGAAUUGACGGUAAAACAAGAGGAAGCACCUUUUAGUACGUUGAACAGAUGAUUCUAUUCAAAUUAAGAAUCAAGGAAAAGCAAGCAUGAAUAAACAAAUGCGGUAGAUAUAGACACUAUAGAGCUUACUUGAUAAGAAUUGUUAAGAUCCUUGAGCCAUAGAUCGCAGAGAAGAUAAAAUGUAUUGAUUGUCCUGACGCUGAGCCGGAAGGGCCCCUGGAAUAGGAUAACACAUGCAACAGCUGAGUGUGGAGGCGUGCUUGGUUCCAGACUACACUUGAUGUUUUGGUUCCAUGGCUUGAAAUGUUCGUACUUCUGUAUCUUACCUACUCUUAUCCAUUCUUUUCAUUGAUUCAUACACCUGUCACUUAGUACAUCCUUAUGUAUUUUUCAAUGAUGAGAGGCACUCUCCAUAUAUUUUCUUUCACAUUUUGUUUUCAGGGAAAUUCAAGAGUAUUUGCAUUUAGUGAGCUUUGCUCUAUCAGGGGCGUUUGCUAGUAACUUCAAAUAAGUUGUGUUAUCUUCCCAACCACCAUGUGUGAAUAUUUCCAUGUUACAAAAAUGGUACCCACGGCUAAGGUGGGUUUAAUAGCUUGCUGAGCUGGUACUGAUUUGUACUCCACUCUUCUUUGAUGCUCAGAAUCAAAACAUUUUGACUUCAUUGUAUAAGUUUGAAGUUACACAAGCCUUCAAUUCUGUUGAUUCAUUUGCGAAGUGAAAAUUUUAAUCUUAAGAGAGUGUUAUGUAUUUUAUUUUGAUGUUCCCCAUACUCUAUUGAUGUACAAUCCUAGGACUAGACCAAUAUUCCCAGUACAUACCCAGUUGUCAAUAUCAAUUGGCCAAAAUUCAGAUAUUUGGGGAAGACCUCCUGAAUGAGGAUCCCCAGGUGAUUCUGUGACCGCAGUGGUCAGACUAGUUUGCAGAUGCUGUUGGCCAGGCUUAGUGGUGCCAGGCAAGGGCCAUGUGUGUCUGUCUGGUCACCUCAGCAGUGACCCCUGUCGUGCCCCUCUGGUCUCUCCGCGUUCGUCCUGGGCCAGGAAGAAGCCUCGGAGUCUGUCUUAACUCACUGAGUCUGCUAAGCUUUGUGCCGUGUGUUGCUCUGCUCAGUCGAGUCUGACUCUGCAACCCCGUGGACUGCAGCCCGCCAGGCUCCUGUACCCAUGGCAUUCUCCAGGCAAGAACACCCGGAGCGGGUUGCCCUGCCCUCCUCCAGGGGAUCUGCCCGACCCAGGGAUCAAACUCGAGUCUCCUGCCCUGGCAGGCGAGUUCUUUACCACUAGCACCACCUGGACUAUGACGAAUCACAAACUCUCUAGCCCCUGAUGUUUAGUGUGAGAGAGCAGUUCUAGGUAAGCACAGCUUGGUGCUUAGCUUCCCUUCGGGUUCGUUUAUUUCGGUGACCUCUGACCUUCCCGCAUGGCGGGCUGUCGUGCUGCUGGCGCUCCAGACCCUCUCGUGGAGACCGUGGCUGCCAGAGCCGCGGUCGCUGGCGCUUGUGUCUCCUUUUACGAUGAAGCCAGAGCUCUUUUUCUGCUAGUCAGAGGCCUUCCUAACCUGGCCCCUCUCUAGACCACUUCUCUCUCUCAUGCCGAUGUUUGAGCCCUUGCAAACUCUUUUUCAUUCUCCGCACACACCAGGCACGUGUUCUUCCCUUUCCCCAGAGUGCACGUCUCUCUCCUAUCUGUUUGGAAAAUCUCUGCUGAUCAUUAAAGCCCUGCGCAGGCAUUAACUUUCACAUGAAGUGCUCUGUAUCCUCCGUACUGUGUUACUUGCUUUUUCUGUGGUACCUCCUACGUUCUUAUAUGGAAUUUGCUCUUUUGUGCAUGACAUAGCACAGUUUUAUUUGUGGACGAGUUUGUCGUCACCAGACUUCAUCUGUGAACGUGCCAGCAAGGUGGAGCCUGGUGCCAGGCAGACAGUAGACCCUGAAGUCAACCUCAGUACCUGGGGUGGACUGAGUCAGAUUCUCAAGCAGAGAGCCUUGGGCACUGGACAAGACUCUUCUCCACUGUGACCUCAAGACCUGACCUACCCCACAAUCAGACCUGAGGGGUGUUGACUGGCAUUCCUUUAUAUCUGGCUGUGCUGGGUCUUAGAUGUGGCAUUCAGAAUCUUUAGUUGCAGCAUGUAGGAUCCAGUUCCCUGACCAGGGAUCGAACCCAGGCCCCCUGCAUCGGGAGCACAGAGUCUUAGCCACGGGACCACCUGGGAAGUCCCUUUGAUUGACACUUCUAAUCCUAAUCCACCUCCUCCCCUCUUGCCAGUGAUACGCUGGCAGAGGACAGGGAUUGACCAUCUCUCCUCAAAAUUCCUUGGAUGCUGGGCACUCAAGCUAUUGGAAAAUCAGAUGCUUCUGCCCCUUCCCUCACUUGCUGAUAAUGCCCUAAAAGGUGGCAUUAGUGGUAAAGAACCCUCCUGCCAGUGCAGGUUAGACGUAAGAGAUGCGGGUUUGAUCCCUGGGUUGGAAAGAUCCCCUGGAGGG